CCAGACUCCUACGGGAGGCAGCAGUGGGGGAUAUUGCACAAUGGGGGAAACCCUGAUGCAGCGACGCCGCGUGAGUGAAGAAGUAUUUCGGUAUGUAAAGCUCUAUCAGCAGGGAAGAAAAUGACAGUACCUGACCAAGAAGCCCCGGCUAACUACGUGCCAGCAGCCGCGGUAAUACGUAGGGGGCAAGCGUUAUCCGGAUUUACUGGGUGUAAAGGGAGUGUAGACGGUUAUGUAAGUCUGGAGUGAAAGCCCGGGGCCCAACCCCGGGACUGCUUUGGAAACUGUGUAACUGGAGUACAGGAGGGGCAGGCGGAAUUCCUGGUGUAGCGGUGAAAUGCGUAGAUAUCAGGAGGAACACCGGCGGCGAAGGCGGCCUUCUGGGCCACGACUGACGCUGAGGCGCGAAAGCUAGGGGAGCGAACAGGAUUAGAUACCCUUGUACU
rnacentral:rRNA from 1 species